rnacentral:rRNA from 1 species
UCAAAGGAAUUGACGGGGAGCACCACAACGGGUGGAGCUUGCGGUUUAAUUGGAUUCAACGCCGGAAAUCUUACCGGGACCGACAGCAAUAUGAAGGCCAGGCUGAAGACUUUGCCGGAUUAGCUGAGAGGUGGUGCAUGGCCGUCGUCAGUUCGUACUGUGAAGCAUCCUGUUAAGUCAGGCAACGAGCGAGACCCACGCCCACAGUUGCCAGCGUACUCUCUGGAGUGACGGGUACACUGUGGGGACCGCCGCUGCUAAAGCGGAGGAAGGAAUGGGCAACGGUAGGUCAGUAUGCCCCGAAUAUCCCGGGCUACACGCGAGCUACAAUGGUUGGUACAAUGGGUAUCUACCCCGAAAGGGGACGGGAAUCUCCUAAAACCAAUCUUAGUUCGGAUUGAGGGCUGCAACUCGCCCUCAUGAAGCUGGAAUCCGUAGUAAUCGCGUUUCAACAGAACGCGGUGAAUACGUUCCUGCUCCUU